CUUAGCAACCGAUUGGUCCUAGUCCUUAUCUUGGUCCCUUCUAAAACGAUACAUGCAAGUUAGUUGCAACACAGUGAGUAAUACCUACUAGUUAUUCUCAAAAGAAAUAACCCUUAAGACAAGGCAUCAGAAAAUCUCCAUAAUUCAACAACGCCUAGCCAACCACAUCUGCAGUACCUAACAUUAUACAAUAAGCAAAAGCUUGAUAUAGUUAUAGAAUUAAGAGUUGGUUAAUUAUGUGCCAGCCACCGCGGUUAUACAUAAGACUCAAACCAAGAAGACCGUCGGUCUAAAGGUGACUAGAGAAAACUUUACUUAGGGUAGAAAAAAACUCCAGUAUUAACAAGCUUCUACAGUAAACUAAUCACAACUAAAAUACCACCCUAAAUCUUUCUUAACUCAAGACACCAAAGCUCAAAAAUAAACUGGGAUUAGAUACCCCACUAUAUGAGCCGUAAAAAAUCAACAACACCCAGAGAA
rnacentral:rRNA from 1 species